UCCGCCUCUGGGCACCA
rnacentral:tRNA from 1 species